CCUACGGGCGGCAGCAGUGGGGAAUAUUGCACAAUGGGGGAAACCCUGAUGCAGCGACGCCGCGUGAGUGAAGAAGUAUUUCGGUAUGUAAAGCUCUAUCAGCAGGAACGAGACAAGACGGUACCUGACUAAGAAGCCCCGGCUAACUACGUGCCAGCAGCCGCGGGAAUACGUAGGGGGCAAGCGUUAUCCGGAAUCAGGGGGUGUAAAGGGAGCGUAGACGGCUGUGCAAGCCUGAAGUGAAAGGCGGGGGCCCAACCCCUGGACUGCUUUGGGAACUGUACGGCUGGAGUGCAGGAGAGGUAAGUGGAAUUCCUAGUGUAGCGGUGAAAUGCGUAGAUAUUAGGAGGAACACCAGUGGCGAAGGCGGCUUACUGGACUGUAACUGACGUUGAGGCUCGAAAGCGUGGGGAGCAAACAGGAUUAGAUACCCGAGUAGUC
rnacentral:rRNA from 1 species